GGGGAAUCUUGCGCAAUGGGCGAAAGCCUGACGCAGCCAUGCCGCGUGAAUGAUGAAGGUCUUAGGAUUGUAAAAUUCUUUCACCGGGGACGAUAAUGACGGUACCCGGAGAAGAAGCCCCGGCUAACUUCGUGCCAGCAGCCGCGGUAACACGUAGGGGGCGAGCGUUGUCCGGAAUUACUGGGCGUAAAGGGCGCGUAGGCGGCCUAGCAAGUCAGGCGUGAAAUUUUAAGGCUCAACCUUAAGACUGCGUCUGAAACUGUUAGGCUUGAGGGCAGGAGAGGAGAGCGGAAUUCCCAGUGUAGCGGUGAAAUGCGUAGAUAUUGGGAGGAACACCAGUGGCGAAGGCGGCUCUCUGGACUGUACCUGACGCUGAGGCGCGAAAGCGUGGGGAGCAAACA
rnacentral:rRNA from 1 species